CCUCUCUUCCCUUUCUGUGUCAUCUUUAGGCUGAGUUGAUACAGUGAGUUUGACAAGUAAACUUGUCAUUUGUGACAGGGUGAUAAAGCAUUAUUAUCUAAAGUUAUUCCUAUAGAAGCCUUUGGAAAACACUCACAGAAUCUGCACUCGAAGAAUUAGAGUUGGAAGGAGCCCUAAAAAUAAUUUCUAGGCAAUACCUGUAUUAUUCCAGAUGUGAUCUUCAGAGGAAAAGAUUAUAUGCUAUAGAAAUUCCCUUUUAAAUUAUUGUAGAAUUUUAAUAACGCUCAUUUUCAUAAUGUUUUACAACAGAAUGAAAUCUUCUGUUGUAGUUUGUCAGGUGCUUCGUGCUCUGGGGAGACAGACAGGUGCUGCUCUGCCGUGUGGCCUUUGCACACAGAGAGUACAGUUGGGAAGUCCUCCCGCAGCCUUCUGGACUCCAGUUCUUUGACUUUCCUUGUGGUUCAUGACCUUUACCCGGUGGUUUCUUCUGAAAAUACUAAUCUUAUGUGCUGCUUUCAGUAAGUAGCACUUUGUAACCUCUAAAGCAUUAUGCAAUGUAAACGAUUAUUAUAUUAUUAUGAAGGUGGUAGAUCUUUGAACUGUACAAUUGUAAAUGCAGUCCAGUGUUUGCUUUUAAUGCUUCUCAAUCAAUUUGUUCCUGAAAAUUGUCAAGUCUGUACUUUAUACUCCAUUUCAUCACUUUUCUGAUGCUUAUAACUGUUUUCUUUAAAUUCAGCUCUGAUGAACAUACACCAGUAGAGGAUGAAGAGCCAAAGAAAAGUACCACUUCAUCUUCUACCUCAGGAGAAGAAAAGAAGAAGAAGAAGAAAUCCAGUCGUUCAAAAGAAAGGUCCAAGAAAAGGAGAAAGAAAAAAUCAUCUAAAAGAAAGCACAAGAAGUAUUCUGACGAUAGUGACAGUGACUCUGAUUCUGAAACAGACUCCAGUGACUAAAGUCCAUUGAGGCCAAAGUCCUGUUGUCACGAGGAUUCAAACCAUUACCAACUGAUGAAUUAGCUGUCUUCCUGGGACCCCUAGAUGGGCAGCCUUACUAUCCUAAUCUCCACUAUCCCAACAGUCAGCAAGCAGAAGGACCCAAAUUACCACACCGUCCCUCACUAGCAGGAAGCAGCCAGAGCGGUCAUCGCCCCUCAUCCCAGUAAUUUGGGUCCCAGAUGCUUGAGGGGGGAAUGUUAGGCAGAAAGACAGAAAUGAGUGGGAUGAAAAGGAGAGAGCACCCUCCAAAAAUGGCUCAGGGAGUUGAUUAGAUAGAGCCAGAGAGUCAGAAAUGACUCAGAGAGUUAAUCAGAUGAAGCCACAGGGUCCAAAAGUGACUCAGGAAGUGCCCAGGGUCCCCCCAGAUAAGAAACAUCAGAAGCACAGGCACAGCACAGCCUCUGUCCUCAUUUCACCAAUCAGAACAAGCCUAGAGAGCUGACAGCUGUCAAUUACGGACCUCUCUGCCCUGCCAAAACCACAUAAAAGAAGCCUCAGAAUGAGGAUCUGGGCCUGUCUCACCUUAGGCAGGCUCGCUCUGUUACUCUCUGCAGGGUGCACUGAAACUUACUUUGCUUUCUUGACUUCGGUUCUCGUCUCACUAUAUCUGACUUCCCUGAGACACUGAGUCUAGUUCCUUCCUUCCAAAUACAUCCACCACAUGACAAUCCAGAAAGCCAUCACUUGUUGGCAUAGGAAGAGAUGAAACUUCAUCUAGAUAAUGGUAAGGAAACUUAGGCCUUUACACCCACAUAUUUGGAUCUUGGCUCAGCCCAUUGCAGCCUGUGUGUUCAUUUUCUAUUGCUGUGUAACUACCACAAAUUCAGCUGCUUAAACUAACACAAAUUUAUUAUCUCAUGGGUUCCCUGUGUCAGCAGCCUGGGCAUGGCUUAACUGGUCCUCUGUUCAGAGUCUCAUAGCCUGCAAUCAAGGUGUCAGUUAGCCAUAGCACGGAGAGCACAGAAACUCAACUGGGGAAGCAUCCACUCCCAAGCUCACUCAGGUUGUUGGCAGAAUUCAUUUCCGUGUGGUUUUAGGACUGAGGUCCCCAUUUGCUAGCUGCCUGUCUGCCAAGGGCCCCUCUCUGCUCCUAAGGGCUGCUUGAAGUUCCUUGCCAUGUGGCCCACAGCACAGGCAAUCUCACAUCAUGGGCACGUACUUCUUCUGAGCAGCAAGGGGGUCUCUUUCCCCAGCGUGCUCACGCAGCGUCUUGUAUAAGGCAACAUGAUCACAGCAGUGACAUUCCCAUUACACUUGCCAUAUUCUGUUGGCGAGAAGCAAACCAUAGGUCCCACUCACUCUCAACCUGGGGAUGGUACAGGGAGUUAUAGGUAUCAUGACAACUAUAACUUAUUUUUGAAAGGUUCAGGAGACAGAGAAGAAAUAUGACAACACUAACAUCUCUUCAACCACAAUGCUAUUAGUGCAUCUAACCUAUAUAACUACAAUGCUAUUACCACAUCUAAAAAUUUUUUUAAUAAUGUAAUAAUAUCAUCAUCUAUCUGGUCCAUAUUCAGAUUUCCCAGUUGUUGCAAGUGUCUUUUGUGGUUAUUUUUAGAAUAGGUAUCUAGUUCAUGCUUUGUAUUUGUGUUGCAUUUAGAUACUAUGUCUCUUCAAGUUAUUUUGAUCUGUAACACAUCUGUUUCCCACCUUGUUUCCCCAUGACACUGGCUUUUUGAAAAGUUGUCUUGUAGAUUGUCCCACCCCCUGGAUUACUCUGUUAGUUUUAUUAUGGUGUCAUUUAAUUUGUUCCAAUGUCCCCUGCUCAAAUCAACUGCAGGGUAGAUCUAGAAAUGUAAUUGAAUCAAUUGAGAUUACACAUUUUGACAAGAAUACAUCCUAAAUAUUGAUGUUGUUUCUCCUUUAUAUAUUUAAAAGUUGGUAUUCUUUUAAAAAUAAAUCUUUCUUUUUACCUCUCCCCAUAUUUUCUCUCCCUUCCUCUCCCUCUCUUUCAUUAUGGACUCAUGUGUUUUUAAGCCAGUGUAUUCAUUGGGUUUUUUUAAAUUCUUUAUUUCUAUUCUUUUUGGUGGUCAAGUUGUCCCACGUUUUGCUAACAGAAACCCCUUUAAACUGUUUCUGAUUCCUUUUGGCAUGACCGCAUUGGUCUUUGAGCAUAUACUUGUUUUCUGGAACAGAAAAAUUUCCUGAGUAACUCUUACACUUUUCUUGCCCUCAACCUGAAAUCAGCCAUUUCACCAAGGAACCCUGAUUCUUUCAGUAGGAAAUAGUAUCUUGAAACCAAUACCUUGGCAUAAAUAAAUUACUUUAGAACAUGCCAGUACUCACAUUUUAAUGAUAUAUAUUUUGAAACCAAAAUACACAGCACUCUUUGGUGCUGUGACCCAGGUGCUUUCCAACGUGCUGGUAAAUGACAUUGCCUAGACAUGUAAGGCCCCUACCUGAUCCCCUUCUGCCCCAGGAGUUAACUUACAUUCCUUCCCUUCCAAAAGUUGGCACCCACGAGCCUUAGCCUCUGGACAGCCUGACGCUGUGAAAGACUUGGCCACGCAAAGCUGUCAAAACCUCACCCAAAUAAAACUUGUA